rnacentral:rRNA from 1 species
CCCUUAGAUGUUCUGGGCCGCACGCGCGCUACACUGAUGCAUUCAACGAGUCUAAAACCUGGUCUGAUAGGGCUGGGUAAUCUUUUGAAUGUGCAUCGUGAUUGGGAUAGAUGAUUGCAAUUCUUCAUCUUCAACGAGGAAUGCCUAGUAGGCGCAAGUCAUCAGCUUGCGUCGAUUACGUCCCUGCCCUUUGUACACACCGCCCGUCGCUCCUACCGAUUGGGUGUGCUGGUGAAAUGUUCGGAUCGGCCGUUUGUCGCGGUUUCCGCGUCAUGUGGCUGAGAAGUUCAUUAAACCCUCCCACCUAGAGGAAGGAGAAGUCGUAACA